rnacentral:rRNA from 1 species
UAGGGAAUUUUCCACAAUGGGCGAAAGCCUGAUGGAGCAACGCCGCGUGCAGGAUGAAUGCCUUCGGGUUGUAAACUGCUUUUAUCUGUGACGAAUAUGACGGUAGCAGAUGAAUAAGGAUCGGCUAACUCCGUGCCAGCAGCCGCGGUCAUACGGAGGAUCCAAGCGUUAUCCGGAAUUACUGGGCGUAAAGAGUUGCGUAGGUGGCAGAGUGUGUCUGUAGUGAAAGCGUGUGGCUCAACCAUAUAUACAUUACAGAAACUGCUCGGCUAGAGGGCGAGAGAGGUAACUAGAAUUCCUAGUGUAGGAGUGAAAUCCGUAGAUAUUAGGAGGAAUACCGAUGGCGUAGGCAGGUUACUGGCUCGUCCCUGACACUAAGGCACGAAAGCGUGGGGAGCAAACGGG